rnacentral:rRNA from 1 species
UACGAAGGGGGCUAGCGUUGUUCGGAAUCACUGGGCGUAAAGCGCACGCAGGCGGAUUGAUAAGUCAGGGGUGAAAUCCCGGGGCUCAACCUCGGAAUUGCCUUUGAUACUGUCUGUCUUGAGUUCGGGAGAGGUUGGCGGAAUUCCUAGUGUAGAGGUGAAAUUCGUAGAUAUUAGGAAGAACACCAGUGGCGAAGGCGGCCAACUGGCCCGAUACUGACGCUCAUGUGCGAAAGCGUGGGGAGCAAAC